rnacentral:snRNA from 1 species
AGCUUUGUGCAGUGGCAGUAUUGUAGCCAAUGAGGUUUAUCCGAGGCGUGAUUAUUGCUAAUUGAAAACUUUUCCCAAUACCCUCCCCAUGAUGACUUGAAAUAUAGUUGGCAUUGGCAAUUUUUGACAGUCUCUACGGAGA